rnacentral:lncRNA from 1 species
UUUGCGUCAAACAAGCCAGCAAACAUUCCAUCUUCUGCUCCACGCGAUGUAUUAUUCAUAUUUUCAGCACCAUUAGUUGAUUGACCUGUGGAGGGCUACAGAAAUGUCUUUUUUUAGAAUCUUGAAAUAUCAAAUUAUAAAUAAUGACUACAAAAAUCCUUAGUUGAUUAAACAGCAAGAUAGAUGUUAAACUAUGUAGCGAUGAUGGGCGUGCAUUGUUAUAUAUAAAAGGCUCAAGCUACUACAAAUACCACAAAUGCCUCCUUUUCAAUCAAGGACCUAGAGAAGAGAACAUAGCAGAGGUAGUACCAUAGCUUCAAGGCUGUUGUGUGAUUAGUUGUAACAUAUUGUGUGGGCAAAAUAGCUUCAACACAAUAGCAAUAAAAAACGGAUGCACAUUUGCUGCUAUAGUGCAACCUAUCCCCUUUCUUUUCUUAUUGGGCCGAUCUGGUGUUAUUGCCUUCGAAAGAAAUAUGUACAUACCAUUUCUGGAGCAAAGAUCGGAAACGAAGUGGUUAAUGUUGAAAAAGCUGGAGGUGGAGGUAUAACAAUACAUGGAAUCUCAGGCCCUUGAAUUCCUUGAAGGGAUGCGAUGGUCUGAAAUUUUUACACACCAUAAGAAAUUAUGCAGACCACCAAGGCUACUCUCCAUUGUAGUCUGGACAGACUGUUAGCACACCAUUUGGCCUUCUGACAUUUUUUUUCUCAAUGUAUGUAAUUCUAACCAGUGCCU